UAAUGGCACAAUAAUCACCAAACUAACUAUGGUUGUACAACUGUAAUGGUAGUGUUUUGAUGUGCUUUUAUAUGACAGAUAUCACAGUAAUCACAUUUACUGUACCAUGCUUUUAAUACCUUUUUAUAUAAAUAAAAAAAAAGUAAAUAAAUAAAGGACACAUAUUUUUCCCAUCUUGCAGUUCAUUCAUAUCAUUUUAUAUCUUAAAUAUUUUUCUCACAUAACAUUAUUAAUAUUCUGCCCCGAAAAGACGUAAAGGCAGUCAGCCCAGUCGUGUUUGUGGAGAGGUAUUCCAUAAGAAAUAGAGAAGACAGAAAGCUGCAGAGGCAGACAUUUGCAGCAGAUUGUUUGCAGAUAACGCUGUCCUUCUCCAUCAUGCACAAGGACUCACCUCUUUAAUUCUUUAUCCCCCACACACACAGAAAUGGUCCCUGGAUCAGUGUUUAGACUUUGCAGUGGUUUGAUUUUUGCAGAAAAUGCAACUUUGUUUUAAUUAUAAGCUUAUAAUGAAUACAUUUUGACCUUCCAGCAACCCAUAUACUGUAUACAAAACCAGUAAUGAAAACAAUAGUUGAAAAUAGUACUUUCAUAUUGAUAAAGCAUUGUGUUCUCUUUUUCAAGCUUCAUACAGUAAACUUUACUUCUGGUGCUUUUAUCAUAAAAAAGCAUCAGUUCUCAUCAGGAGUUUUAGUAAAGGACAUAUUCAUGCACAGCCAUCCCCUAGUUCCAGUCAUAAAGUGAAUGAUGUUAUUGUCAAAGUUAUAUUUCUGCAUUUUUAUGUAGCAGGUGUUUGUUUUCCUGAACACUUUAUCUUUCUUCCAUUGUUCAGUGUUUUUUUGGUGCUGUGCUGAUAGAGUUUUAUAGAUGAUAUUGCACACUUGACAUGCAUGUCUUCAUGGUGUUAUUUUCUGAUUUUGAAACAGUGUGUUGUAUCACUUUUUGGUCAAUUUAAUUUUUAAGAAAAUUUAUUUUUCCAGUGUUCUCUGAAAGAAUGUAUCUGUAUAUACUGUAUUUACUGUUUUGUGUUUUAAUAAAAGUAUUUGAAAAUAAUCA
ensembl:lncRNA